rnacentral:rRNA from 1 species
AGAGUUUGAUCAUGGCUCAGAUUGAACGCUGGCGGCAGGCUUAACACAUGCAAGUCGAACGGUAACAGGGAGAAGCUUGCUUCUUUGCUGACGAGUGGCGGACGGGUGAGUAAUGCUUGGGAAUCUGGCUUAUGGAGGGGGAUAACUACGGGAAACUGUAGCUAAUACCGCGUAAUAUCUUCGGAUUAAAGGGUGGGACUUUCGGGCCACCUGCCAUAAGAUGAGCCCAAGUGGGAUUAGGUAGUUGGUGGGGUAAAGGCCUACCAAGCCGACGAUCUCUAGCUGGUCUGAGAGGAUGGCCAGCCACACUGGAACUGAGACACGGUCCAGACUCCUACGGGAGGCAGCAGUGGGGAAUAUUGCACAAUGGGGGGAACCCUGAUGCAGCCAUGCCGCGUGAAUGAAGAAGGCCUUCGGGUCGUAAAGUUCUUUCGGUGAUGAGGAAGGUGUUUGUUUUAAUAGAACAAGCAAUUGACGUUAGUCACAGAAGAAGCACCGGCUAACUCCGUGCCAGCAGCCGCGGUAAUACGGAGGGUGCGAGCGUUAAUCGGAAUGACUGGGCGUAAAGGGCACGCAGGCGGUGACUUAAGUGAGAUGUGAAAGCCCCGGGCUUAACCUGGGAAUUGCAUUUCAUACUGGGUCGCUAGAGUAUUUUAGGGAGGGGUAGAAUUCCACGUGUAGCGGUGAAAUGCGUAGAGAUGUGGAGGAAUACCGAAGGCGAAGGCAGCCCCUUGGGAAUAUACUGACGCUCAUGUGCGAAAGCGUGGGGAGCAAACAGGAUUAGAUACCCUGGUAGUCCACGCUGUAAACGCUGUCGAUUUGGGGAUUGGGCUUAGAGCUUGGUGCCCGUAGCUAACGUGAUAAA